rnacentral:rRNA from 1 species
AUUGAACGCUGGCGGCAUGCUUUACACAUGCAAGUCGAACGGCAGCGCGGGCUUCGGCCUGGCGGCGAGUGGCGAACGGGUGAGUAAUACAUCGGAACGUGCCCAGUAGUGGGGGAUAGCUCGGCGAAAGCCGGAUUAAUACCGCAUACGACCUGAGGGUGAAAGCGGGGGAUCUUCGGACCUCGCGCUACUGGAGCGGCCGAUGGCAGAUUAGCUAGUUGGUGGGGUAAAGGCCUACCAAGGCGACGAUCUGUAGCUGGUCUGAGAGGACGACCAGCCACACUGGGACUGAGACACGGCCCAGACUCCUACGGGAGGCAGCAGUGGGGAAUUUUGGACAAUGGGCGAAAGCCUGAUCCAGCAAUGCCGCGUGUGUGAUGAAGGCCUUCGGGUUGUAAAGCACUUUUGGCGGGAACGAAAAGGACUGUGCCAAUACCACGGUUCGAUGACGGUACCCGCAGAAUAAGCACCGGCUAACUACGUG